rnacentral:tRNA from 2 species
GCGAGCGUGGUGGAACUGGUAGACACGCCAGAUUUAGGUUCUGGUGCCGAAAGGUGUGGGGGUUCAAGUCCCUUCGCUCGCA